rnacentral:tRNA from 1 species
GGCUCGUUGGUCUAGGGGUAUGAUUCUCGCUUAGGGUGCGGCAGGUCCCGGGUUCAAAUCCCGGACGAGCCC